GGGAUUAGAACUUGAUGUAAUUUCUCUCACAAUAUUAGCUGCAUAGUAUGUCAGAGCAUUCCUGUUCAGGUUACGCAUGCCCUCAUCCAUAAAAGUAACUCGCAAAAAUCGAUCUGAAAUAUGCUUAUACUUCCUGAGGACUCUAUUGGAUAGCUCCACAGUUGGCGGAAGACAGUAUGCUUUGGUUGGGGUAAUAACCAACCUUCUAACCUCU
rnacentral:misc_RNA from 1 species